AACCUAGCACACCUGCGGUGUGUACCUGCGGAAGGAUCAUUACCGAGUUUACAACUCCCAAACCCCUGUGAACAUACCACUUGUUGCCUCGGCGGAUCAGCCCGCUCCCGGUAAAACGGGACGGCCCGCCAGAGGACCCCUAAACUCUGUUUCUAUAUGUAACUUCUGAGUAAAACCAUAAAUAAAUCAAAACUUUCAGCAAUGGAUCU
rnacentral:misc_RNA from 1 species